CUGGCGGUGUUGGUUCCCAUCACUCACUCCCCCAUAUUUGUGUAGUCUGCCUGUAACCAUCCUGAGUCUCUAUUCGGGCCCCCUGGGAGGGGGGGUUCCUCUGAAUGGCCCCUUCUUACAAUGUGGGGCACAAACCCUAAGCCGGCUCUCCAAUUGAGCUGCUCUCUUAGUGGGUUCCCAGCCCGUGGCAGGGGGCAUGACCAUUGGUUACCCAUGGCAUGCCCGCUGUUGGCGCCGGACCAUUCGGCGGCGUUGACAUGCCACUGUUGGUUGUGAUGGGCAUAUCCGUAUGCCCACCUGCACAUUCGUGGCUCUCACUGUUAGCGAUGGACCAGUCGGUGGCUCUGACAUGCUAUGGGACACCUCCCAGUGCAGCAUGCUCAGAUGCUUCCCUCACAGCCAUGGCAUCAUGCUCUUGGUGCUGGACCAUUCGGCAGCACUGAUAUGUCAUGACCAGCUGUGCUCCUACCGUUGAUGCGGUUGGUCUUAUCCAUGUACUCCUGGGGUUGUUACCAACCCCUCGGCUGUGGUUACAGGCAGGAUCUCGGGGAGUGGCCCUCGUGAAAUUCCAAACCUCCUCCCUCCUCAUUUGAGGUUUCCGGAGGCCGAUAGUCAUUAAACAGUGCUUAGUACAAUUUUGAAAAGCAUUUCUUAAUUUUUAGGUAAUCCUGAAAGUGCAUCCAAGGCAGUUGAAAAGAAGCAUCAUAAACUAUUGAAAAAUCUAUAUUUAACAGAAAUAUAAUUUGAUGAGAGGAGUUUGAAAUGUUGCAUUCGUUACAGGAGGCCUAAAAGAAGACAACAAGAAAGUUAAAAAAUGAAUUGUAUUAUUAUGAACAAGUGUGAUGCUGAAACAUUUUUGCUACAAUUAAGUUAUAAUCUGAUUACAAGUCAUGUUAAGAAUAAAAAUUUGACAGUAAUGGAAUGAAGGAACUUAACAGAAGUGGCAUUCUAUGUAAUGAUUCCAGGCUAGGUUAACUUAAGUUGAA